GAAAAGAACCCCGGCGAGGGGAGUGAAAAAGAACCUGAAACCGUGUACGUACAAGCAGUGGGAGCACGCUUCGGCGUGUGACUGCGUACCUUUUGUAUAAUGGGUCAGCGACUUAUAUUCUGUAGCAAGGUUAACCGAAUAGGGGAGCCGAAGGGAAACCGAGUCUUAACUGGGCGUUAAGUUGCAGGGUAUAGACCCGAAACCCGGUGAUCUAGCCAUGGGCAGGUUGAAGGUUGGGUAACACUAACUGGAGGACCGAACCGACUAAUGUUGAAAAAUUAGCGGAUGACUUGUGGCUGGGGGUGAAAGGCCAAUCAAACCGGGAGAUAGCUGGUUCUCCCCGAAAGCUAUUUAGGUAGCGCCUCGUGAAUUCAUCUCCGGGGGUAGAGCACUGUUUCGGCAAGGGGGUCAUCCCGACUUACCAACCCGAUGCAAACUGCGAAUACCGGAGAAUGUUAUCACGGGAGACACACGGCGGGUGCUAACGUCCGUCGUGAAGAGGGAAACAACCCAGACCGCCAGCUAAGGUCCCAAAGUCAUGGUUAAGUGGGAAACGAUGUGGGAAGGCCCAGACAGCCAGGAUGUUGGCUUAGAAGCAGCCAUCAUUUAAAGAAAGCGUAAUAGCUCACUGGUCGAGUCGGCCUGCGCGGAAGAUGUAACGGGGCUAAACCAUGCACCGAAGCUGCGGCAGCGACGCU
rnacentral:rRNA from 1 species